GUGAGGAAUUUUCCGCAAUGGGCGAAAGCCUGACGGAGCAAUGCCGCGUGAAGGAUGAAGGCCUAUGGGUUGUAAACUUCUUUUCUCAGAAAAGAAUUAUGACGGUAUCUGAGGAAUAAGCAUCGGCUAACUCUGUGCCAGCAGCCGCGGUAAGACAGAGGAUGCAAGCGUUAUCCGGAAUGAUUGGGCGUAAAGCGUCUGUAGGUUGUUUAAAAAGUAUUCUGUCAAAGAUUAGGGCUUAACCCUAGAUAGGCAGAAUAAACUUUUAAGCUAGAGUUUGGUAGAGGCAAAGGGAAUUCCCGGUGGAGCGGUGAAAUGCGUAGAUAUCGGGAGGAACACCAAAGGCGAAGGCACUCUGCUGGGCCAAUACUAACACUGAGAGACGAAAGCGAGGGGAGCAAAUGGGAUUAGAUACCCUAGUAGUCC
rnacentral:rRNA from 1 species